UGCGCUCGAUGAUUUAUUGUGUACUCUGAUAAGGGAGGACUAGCUAUCCACCGGGUCUGUUGCACUGGUGUGUUCUUAACAACAAAGGGCGGGGUAAACUUGUACUCGAUCUGCCAGUGAAGCUGUACCAUUCUCUCAUUGGUGUUUAAUCGGCUUAUAACACUGCGUCGCCGUCCAAACAGGAAACGCUGUGUACAUCAAAGCACACAUUAAUUAAAAGCCAAGGCAAUAAGGCAUACCAGACGAGUCCAGGAACAGGCCUAGCUAGUCCAGAAGAUCGGUGCUUAAACUUUGGAUACAUUAUAAACCAUAGGGAAAUAUAUCAACGAAUAUAUAUCUGCUACUCGACAGAUCGCGCAACAGGGACCGCGAACCGAUUUUUCUUGGAACGUAAUAUCAAAGCGGGCGGACAACCAGCACAGCUGUUGUGGAAUUAUAUCACUGCCCUGUACAAACACAUGAUAUAGAUUCGGAUUGGAUCUAUAUAUUGGAUUGGAUAUUGGAGCUAUUAUAUCUUUCAUUUUUAAAAGCUCUUUGAUAUUUCGAAAUGGCUUCUUCGUCAACUCAAAUGGCGCUUCACAAGAACAUUGAUCAGCUUCAGAGGGAACUCAAUGUGGAGCGGGUUAAAGUCUCACAGUGCACAGCUGACCUUGUUCAAUACUGCGAGCAGGAAAUGGGGAAUGACUUUCUGUUGACAAGAGAGCUGCAUGUCGGUCAGCUCAACAACUACAAAGACAAGAAAGGAGGCUGUACAUUACUCUAGUUCAUUCAUUCAUUCUGAAUCGCAUCUGAACAUCCCAUCUGCUUUUCCAGACACCAAGCUGACCAUGUGUUUAACAGGGUCCUCCUGAAAACCUGAGAAAAUACAACUUAUUCGCACAGAAUCACCCGUUGACCCGAUUAUAUUAUAUAAAGCAAAGUAUUUUACACCUACACCUGUAGAUACACUAAGUCUUGACGAAUUUUAAUUACGUGCGUGUACUUUUAAAUGGUUUUAAAUGUUGAGUUUCGUCAUAAGUGAGAUUUUGUUUGUGUGUGUAACCUUUGUUUUAAGUUGGUCUAAUUUCAUUUGGAGAAAGGUAUUUCUAUUAAUAUAUGGCUAUAUGAUCUGAUAUGAUCUAAUAUUUUCAUUGUAAUAUUGAAGUUUGUCGCGUUGACUAACUGACACAACUAUAAAAUAUCAAAGGGUGAUUGAUCAUUGGUUAUGUGAUUGCAGAUUGUAGUUUUCAUUCCGCAAGACGUCGAGCUGCGACCUAUAAAGACCGACGGCCCAAUAACUCAUAUACAGAUUAUAGCCCACGAGACCGAUAUCCCGUUUGACCGACAUCCCUCUAGAUCGAUAAUAUUGGUGUAUUGUGCCAUCUUACAAUUUUCUGAGGUUACAACAGCCCAUUGGGUCUAAUGGGAGGUCGGUCAAAUGGGAUGUCCCAAGAACAGCUCGCUAAUUGUUAUAGAACCAUUUUAUGUCUUUCAUUAUUGUGAGAUCUUCCAACAAUUUUACUUUUCCUGUGUCUUGCUAUACAACUUACAAGGCAUAUAUAUAAUUCGUUAUUAAGAAGGUAGAUUUUGUAACGAAUUUAUGACAUUUUUAUCAAUGAAAUGAAAUUGUACACUUCCCAGCAGACUUUGCAUGUAGUAACAUGUGAAAACAUUAGAUGAGAUAUUUUUUAAAACGUUUUAAAGUUCGUUUUUUAAAUGUUACCAACGUUUUCUUUCAUUUUUUGUGAGUGUUCAUACAAAUCAGUUUUUACUUAUUUCCGAAAUUGUCUAUCUCGUUGUACAUUUUGGUGUAUUUUGUUUCUUUUAGUUCUUCCACAUAUACUGCAGUAUAUAAGUGAACUUGCAUUUAUCAGUUUCUCGUUCAUUAUAGAAAUAGGUAGAAAACUUCCCUUCCUUUUUUUCUUUUUUUUCCAAAUUGCAUUUAAUUAAUCGAGGCAUAAAACAUAAGCAUAUUGAUUGAAUUCAUGAGCAAAAGAAGGGUUCAACAUAAUUAAAAACUGUUUUGUUUUUUAAUGAGAGAAAAAGAUGACAAAGAGACGGGAUAGUAUACAUGUAUGUAUUAAACGUCCGUGUUGCAUUGAAAGUUCCCUGCAACGAUUAAACCUUUCUGUCUCUAAAACUAAUCAAAAUAUCACAAAUCGAUCACUUUUAAAGAAGCUAUUUGAUGUUUCAAUGGAGUAUAUAACAUCCUCUCAUGAACCCAAUCAUUUGUGAUCAGACUGCAAAAGCUUUAUAGCCAUAAUACCAUCUGCGAAGGUUUUUUGUUGCUAUUAACAUUAAAUACGACGGCAAUUAACCACUAAUCUUUUAAGUAAUUGUUCUUAUUUCAGGUCCCUUUUUCAUGAAGCUUAUUAUCAGUAACAAGUUACAAUAAUUGUUAAAAGCUACUGAAAUCCUCGCAUCUGAUUGGCUGAGAGCAAAUGUGUCAUGGUUGUGUGGCAGUUGUUACGGAUAACAAGUUUCAUGAAACAAGGGCCCAUGUCUAAACUGUGAAAAUAUUCAUCUUUACUUUAUAAUUAAAUUCGGGUGUAUCCACAUACGCGUAUGAUUAUUUUUGUUUAUACAUAAAUAAAACGAACUUGAUUAGUGCAUUGGUUUUAACCUUAUAUUGUUUCAAGGAAUAACUAUCUACCAAUUUUCCACACCCUCUCGUGCCUUUUCGUGUCUAUACAUGUUUUUAAAUCUCUUAACAUAUUAUAUUUCUUCUUUUUAGUAAGUGAUCAACCACUGUUAAAAAUAACAUUUCAUUUUUGUUUGCCCGAAAUAUGAGGCAGACAUAACUAUCAAAUCGCAGUUUGCAACAAUAUACUGCUGUACUUUAUCAUCGAUUUAAUGUCGCUUUCUAGAAUUCGAUAAAACAUAUGUUUCGCAUCCCAUCACCUGUAUUAUAUUAUAUCAUAACGUGUGACCGACAGUGGAUUAUAUUCAAAUGAAGUAGGAUGUGUUCUUACAGAAUUCUAUUUCCAAUAUCCAGACUCUCAUCAUGUUUAUAACAAACAAAUGUGCACCAGAAAGUUGAAUUUGACAUGAUCAAGAUGGCGUCUUAUCGAGGUGUAUCGUUAUGAUAACAAUAUGUAUACAGCUCAAGUAUUCGACCUUUCAAUUUUGUUGUAACAACUGUUUCAUUAAAAUACUAGAAAACUUCUAAA